UACGGAGGGAGCUAGCGUUGUUCGGAAUUACUGGGCGUAAAGCGCACGUAGGCGGCUUUGUAAGUUAGAGGUGAAAGCCCGGGGCUCAACCCCGGAAUUGCCUUUAAGACUGCAUCGCUUGAAUCCGGGAGAGGUGAGUGGAAUUCCGAGUGUAGAGGUGAAAUUCGUAGAUAUUCGGAAGAACACCAGUGGCGAAGGCGGCUCACUGAACCGGUAUUGACGCUGAGGUGCGAAAGCGUGGGGAGCAAACAGG
rnacentral:rRNA from 1 species